rnacentral:tRNA from 1 species
UGUGGCUGUGGCUCAGUGGAAGAGCGCUUGCCUAGCACGUGUGAGGCACUGGGUUCGAUCCUCAGGAUCAUAU